AAAGUGCAGUCAAUCAAUCAGAGGUCCAUCUCCCAUUCCCUUUAAAACCCGGGCGCGUUUGGACCUUGGUGCAUUUCUAUUAUGAUGGAGGAUUUGCAUUGCGCGGGUGUGUGUGUGUG